rnacentral:rRNA from 1 species
UACGGAGGGGGCUAGCGUUGUUCGGAAUUACUGGGCGUAAAGCGCACGUAGGCGGCUUUGUAAGUUAGAGGUGAAAGCCCGGGGCUCAACUCCGGAAUUGCCUUUAAGACUGCAUCGCUAGAAUUGUGGAGAGGUAAGUGGAAUUCCGAGUGUAGAGGUGAAAUUCGUAGAUAUUCGGAAGAACACCAGUGGCGAAGGCGACUUACUGGACACAUAUUGACGCUGAGGUGCGAAAGCGUGGGGAGCAAACACGG